rnacentral:rRNA from 1 species
AUUCCUACGGGAGGCAGCAGUGGGGAAUAUUGCACAAUGGGCGAAAGCCUGAUGCAGCGACGCCGCGUGAGGGAUGAAGGCCUUCGGGUUGUAAACCUCUUUCAGCAGGGAAGAAGCAGCCGGGUUUUCUUGGUUGUGACGGUACCUGCAGAAGAAGCACCGGCUAACUACGUGCCAGCAGCCGCGGUAAUACGUAGGGUGCAAGCGUUGUCCGGAAUUAUUGGGCGUAAAGAGCUUGUAGGCGGUUUGUCGCGUCUGCUGUGAAAUUUCGGGGCUCAACCCCGAACUUGCAGUGGGUACGGGCAGACUAGAGUGUGGUAGGGGAGACUGGAAUUCCUGGUGUAGCGGUGAAAUGCGCAGAUAUCAGGAGGAACACCGAUGGCGAAGGCAGGUCUCUGGGCCACUACUGACGCUGAGAAGCGAAAGCAUGGGGAGCGAACAGGAUUAGAUACCCUGGUAGUCCAUGCCGUAAACGUUGGGAACUAGGUGUGGGCCUCAUUCCACGAGGUCCGUGCCGCAGCUAACGCAUUAAGUUCCCCGCCUGGGGAGUACGGCCGCAAGGCUAAAACUCAAAGGAAUUGACGGGGGCCCGCACAAGCGGCGGAGCAUGCGGAUUAAUUCGAUGCAACGCGAAGAACCUUACCAAGGCUUGACAUGUGCCGGUAAAGUGCAGAGAUGUGCUCCCCGCAAGGUCGGUACACAGGUGGUGCAUGGUUGUCGUCAGCUCGUGUCGUGAGAUGUUGGGUUAAGUCCCGCAACGAGCGCAACCCUCGUUCUAUGUUGCCAGCACGUGAUGGUGGGGACUCAUAGGAGACUGCCGGGGUCAACUCGGAGGAAGGUGGGGAUGACGUCAAAUCAUCAUGCCCCUUAUGUCUUGGGCUUCACGCAUGCUACAAUGGCCAGUACAAAGGGCUGCGAUACCGCAAGGUGGAGCGAAUCCCAAAAAACUGGUCUCAGUUCGGAUUGGGGUCUGCAACUCGACCCCAUGAAGUCGGAGUCGCUAGUAAUCGCAGAUCAGCAACGCUGCGGUGAAUACGUUCCCGGGCCUUGUACACACCGCC